GGGAGGUAAAUUUCUCCUAAGGCUAAAUAUUGGCGAGAGACCGAUAGCGAACAAGUACCGUGAGGGAAAGAUGAAAAGAACUUUGAAAAGAGAGUUAAACAGUACGUGAAAUUGUUGAAAGGGAAACGAUCGAAGUCAGUCAUACCAACGGGAAAUCAACCUUUUGAGCUUGGUCUCGUGGGUUUUGAAGAGUUUCAAAGCCUUCGGAUUCGCGAGAUUGGGAUCUCUUGGUGUACUUUUUCGUACGGUUAGUCAAAAUCGGUUUUGAAUGUCAUAAAAUGACUGGAGGAAUGUAGCUUCGAUA
rnacentral:rRNA from 1 species